ensembl:lncRNA PVT1 Pvt1 oncogene
AUCUUUCUAAAGCUCUGAUCAGUCAAGAAGGGGGUUGUAUCAAUCCUCAGAACCCUGAGUGGAACUUUCUACAGGAUUUAUUAGGAGAAAAACCUUCCCGGAAGCUGCAGAAGGACAAAUACAGAAUCCGUGUCUGGGAGAAACCUCGUGGCCUGGUCUCCAUUAUUUGAGAUGAGUUACAUCUUGGAGGUGAGGACGUGCCUCGUGGUCUAAAGCUUCGGCACAAGGGCCCAACUGGAAUUCCACUUACGGGCCUGAUCUUUUGGCCAGAAGGAGAUUAAAAAGAUGCCCCUCAAGAUGGCUGUGCCUGUCAGCUGCAUGGAGCUUCGUUCAAGUAUUUUCUGAGCCUGAUGGAUUUACAGUGAUCUUCAGUGGUCUGGGGAAUAACGCUGGUGGAACCAUGCACUGGAAUGACACACGCCCGGCACAUUUCAGGAUACUAAAAGUGGUUUUAAGGGAGGCUGUGGCUGAAUGCCUCAUGGAUUCUUACAGCUUGGAUGUCCAUGGGGGACGAAGGACUGCAGCUGGCUGAGAGGGUUGAGAUCUCUGUUUACUUAGAUCUCUGCCAACUUCCUUUGGGUCUCCCUAUGGAAUGUAAGACCCCGACUCUUCCUGGUGAAGCAUCUGAUGCACGUUCCAUCCGGCGCUCAGCUGGGCUUGAGCUGACCAUACUCCCUGGAGCCUUCUCCCGAGGUGCGCGGGUGACCUUGGCACAUACAGCCAUCAUGAUGGUACUUUAAGUGGAGGCUGAAUCAUCUCCCCUUUGAGCUGCUUGGCACGUGGCUCCCUUGGUGUUCCCCUUUUACUGCCAGGACACUGAGAUUUGGAGAGAAUCCUGUUACACCUGGGAUUUAGGCACUUUCAAUCUGAAAAAAUACAUAUCCUUUCAGCACUCUGGACGGACUUGAGAACUGUCCUUACGUGACCUAAAGCUGGAGUAUUUUGAGAUUGGAGAAUUAAGGCCAACAGAGAUUUUGAGAAACACAUUGAAGGAUCUGUUAACACUUGAUAUACCCAAUAAAAGCAGUGGUUGUGCCAGUGCUGAUCUGUCUUGAUGUGAAUGUGAACAAUGGGAACCUGAGCUGAGCAGUUAAUGCUAGGGUGACAGAAACUGGACCUCUCCCAAGACAUGUGACAGAGUAAUACAGCAGCCAACUUCUUCGCCAAAUUAAAGUUUUACAAGAUUUAACCUGUCAUCAAGACCUGGGAUUUUGGUGAGCCAGUCUUGGUGCUCUGUGUUCACCUGGUUCAUCUGAGGAGCUGCAUCUACCCUGCCCAUGCCAUAGAUCCUGCCCUGUUUGCUUCUCCUGUUGCUGCUAGUGGACAUGAGAAGGACAGAAUAACGGGCUCCCAGAUUCACAAGCCCCACCAAGAGGAUCACCCCAGGAACGCUUGGAGGCUGAGGAGUUCACUGAGGCUACUGCAUCUUGAGACUCAGGAUGAAGACCCAGCUUGGGGCUGUCAAAGGUUUUUUGCAUGUCUGACACCCAUGACUCCACCUGGACCUUAUGGCUCCACCCAGAAGCAAUUCAGCCCAACAGGAGGACAGCUUCAACCCAUUACGAUUUCAUCUCUGCCCCAACCACUCAGCAGCAAGCACCUGUUACCUGUCCACCCCCACCCCUUCCCCCAAACUGCCUUUGAAAAAUCCCUAACCUAUGAGCUUUGAAUAAGAUGAGUACGAACUUCAUCGCCCACGUGGCGUGGCCGGCCUCGUGUCUAUUAAAUUCUUUUUCUACUACAA